rnacentral:rRNA from 1 species
CAGCAGCCACGGUAAUACGGAGGAUCCAAGCGUUAUCCGGAUUUAUUGGGUUUAAAGGGUGCGUAGGUGGCCUGUUAAGUCAGGGGUGAAAGACGGUAGCUUAACUAUCGCAGUGCCCUUGAUACUGAUGGGCUUGAAUGAACUAGAGGUAGGCGGAAUGUGACAAGUAGCGGUGAAAUGCAUAGAUAUGUCACAGAACACCAAUUGCGAAGGCAGCUUACUAUGGUUUUAUUGACACUGAGGCACGAAAGCGUGGGGAUCAAACAGGAUUAGAUACCCGCGUAGUCCCUGUCUCUUAUAC